rnacentral:rRNA from 1 species
CGUGUAGGCGGUUCGGUAAGUGGAAUGUGAAAUCCCUCGGCUCACCCGAGGACCUGCAUCCCAAACUGCCGAGCUUAAGUAUGGGAGAGGAUGAGGGAAUUCCUGGUGUAGCGGUGAAAUAGCGUAGAUAUCAGGAGGAACACCGGUGGCGAAGGCGCUCAUCUGGCCCAACUACUGACGCUGAGGCGCGAAAGCUAGGGAGCAAACG